rnacentral:rRNA from 1 species
AUUGAACGCUGGCGGCAGGCCUAACACAUGCAAGUCGAGCGGAUGAGAGGAGCUUGCUUCUUGAUUCAGCGGCGGACGGGUGAGUAAUGCCUAGGAAUCUGCCUGGUAGUGGGGGACAACGUUUCGAAAGGAACGCUAAUACCGCAUACGUCCUACGGGAGAAAGCAGGGGACCUUCGGGCCUUGCGCUAUCAGAUGAGCCUAGGUCGGAUUAGCUAGUUGGUGAGGUAAUGGCUCACCAAGGCGACGAUCCGUAACUGGUCUGAGAGGAUGAUCAGUCACACUGGAACUGAGACACGGUCCAGACUCCUACGGGAGGCAGCAGUGGGGAAUAUUGGACAAUGGGCGAAAGCCUGAUCCAGCCAUGCCGCGUGUGUGAAGAAGGUCUUCGGAUUGUAAAGCACUUUAAGUCGGGAGGAAGGGUUGUACGUUAAUACCGUGCAAUUUUGACGUUACCGACUGAAUAAGCACCGGCUAACUCUGUGCCAGCCGCCGCCGUAA